GUGAGGAAUUUUCCGCAAUGGGCGAAAGCCUGACGGAGCAAUGCCGCGUGAAGGAUGAAGGCCUAUGGGUUGUAAACUUCUUUUCUCAGAAAAGAAUUAUGACGGUAUCUGAGGAAUAAGCAUCGGCUAACUCUGUGCCAGCAGCCACGGUAAGACAGAGGAUGCAAGCGUUAUCCGGAAUGAUUGGGCGUAAAGCGUCUGUAGGUUGUUUAAAAAGUAUUCUGUCAAAGAUUAGGGCUUAACCCUAGAUAGGCAGAAUAAACUUUUAAGCUAGAGUUUGGUAGAGGCAGAGGGAAUUCCCGGUGGAGCGGUGAAAUGCGUAGAUAUCGGGAGGAACACCAAAGGCGAAGGCACUCUGCUGGGCCAAUACUAACACUGAGAGACGAAAGCGAGGGGAGCAAAUGGGAUUAGAAACCCCAGUAGUCC
rnacentral:rRNA from 1 species